AUAACCGGUGAGAAAUGGUAUUUUUAUGAGAGUGAAAGGAGCACAUAUCAACCAUUGGAUAAAAAUGAAGCGUUGGGAUUAAAAUAUCAGUUUUUUCUCCAAUAACACCUUUCGUUCAUUUUGUGAGUUGUUGGCCGACGUCUUUAUCUUCAUGCUCAACUUUUCAAAAUUUCCUCACUAUUCGUAAUGUUCUCUCUCCACUGCACUAAUCCAAGAGUUUUUUUGAAAUAAUUUGUUAAGGAUCUUUCUGGCUUGAAUCUUAUAUAUAUAUAUAAAUGAUUUUGUCCCGUAAACCAAGUCAAUUGCAAAUUUGAUGUUAAAUUAUUAAAUUGAAAAGAAAAACAAAGCUUUCUGAUCUUGGCAAUGAUAUCGUCUUUUACACAUUAGGAAGAACAUAGAAAUCAAAACUUAUCUAAAAUAAAUGUCAAAGGUGGAAACAAUGUAGACUCAAAGGUGGAAUCCUCGAUGGAGUAUAGCCAAAUUCAAGUGUGAUAGGAGUAUUGUUAAUGUUCGAAUCCUCCAUGGAGAAAGGAGACGGAGGCAGCUAACAAUUUCAAAGGCGCUCUUUAAGAACGUGCUCUACUUACCAUCGAGAAGCUGGUGGCCAAACUAAAGCGGCCAAGAUAGAUUCCUUCAAACAAAAGUCCCCUCAGAAGGAGACGAAGUUGAUAGCAUCAGCUAGGCAAAAGAAGGAGAGGGCCCGUAGCGAUGAAGACAAAAAAUGGAACCUUAAAAUGUGCAAAUGUAUGGAUAUUUUACUAGUUUGCCAUAAAUAAAUAUUGAAUCAAGUGACAUGUAACUUAAAAUUUAAGCUUGCAUUGCAUUGCA